UUUGUAACCCUGAAUUUUAAAAAAAAACUCUGAAAAUUCUCUCAACCUCUCCUCUCCUAGCCCGAAAUCCGGCCACCAGCCCGUCGACGGACCACCGUACGCGCCUCCACACGCGCUGCUGUACACGGUGCCCAGAGGCCAAAAACCUCUGUUUUUGCACUCAAAAGGUAACCCCGAAGAUUUUGCUCGAGCCCUGAUCUUCGCGCACUGAUGGAGCCAGUGUUGACGACUCUUGGCGUGAUUCAUGCGCCGAUGGUGGCGCACUGUCUGAUGGCAGCGUUGGGAAGUCACGGCGCGCUUGGUGGCGACGAUCGGGCCAUUGAAUCUGAAAGGUCAUGUUGCUUAGAGUGCCCGAAGUUUCCAGAACCUUAUUGCGGCACUGAUGACCUCAGGAAACCCUAGGGUUUCCUAAGUCUGCUGGCUAAUUGGGCCUUUCGGGUUAGGCUACUAUUUGGGCAGGAUUAAAAUGUGGGCUUCUGGUGUAGUUGGGUCUAGGGUUUGCUGAGUACGGGUUUGGUUAGUAGGCUAUGGUAAAUGGAUGUAAUUGGGCUCCGGGUGUUGGUUUAAAUUUUGGGCCUGGACUGUUUAAAAUAUGGACAUUUUAUUGAUUGAUUUUAUUUUUAUGGCCCGGGCAAAAUAUGGGUUCUUCAGUUUGUAUUUUCUUGUGAUGUAAAUUUAAUUUAGUCCAUAUUAUUUGUUGUUCGAA